rnacentral:siRNA from 1 species
UAGAUGAGGGUAAUUUGGUAA